rnacentral:rRNA from 1 species
UACAGAGGAUGCAAGCGUUAUCCGGAAUGAUUGGGCGUAAAGCGUCUGUAGGUGGCUUUUUAAGUCCGCCGUCAAAUCCCAGGGCUCAACUCUGGACAGGCGGUGGAAACUACCAAGCUGGAGUACGGUAGGGGCAGAGGGAAUUUCCGGUGGAGCGGUGAAAUGCGCAGAUAUCAGGAAGAACACCCGUGGCGAAGGCGGUUCUCUGGGACGGUACUGACGCUGAGACGCGAAAGCGUGGGGAGCGAACAGG